CUACGGAGGGUGCAAGCGUUAAUCGGAAUUACUGGGCGUAAAGCGCGCGUAGGCGGUUAUUUAAGUCAGAUGUGAAAGCCCCGGGCUUAACCUGGGAACUGCAUUUAAAACUGGCGAACUAGAGUUGAGUAGAGGGGAGUGGAAUUUCAGGUGUAGCGGUGAAAUGCGUAGAGAUCUGAAGGAACACCAGUGGCGAAGGCGACUCCCUGGACUCGAACUGACGCUGAGGUACGAAAGCGUGGGUAGCAAACGGGAUUAGAAACCCCAGUAGUCC
rnacentral:rRNA from 1 species